rnacentral:rRNA from 1 species
AACGAACGCUGGCGGCAUGCCUAACACAUGCAAGUCGAACGACACCUUCGGGUCUAGUGGCGCACGGGUGCGUAACGCGUGGGAAGCUUCCCUUAGGUUCGGAAUAACUCCCCGAAAGGGGUGCUAAUACCGGAUAAUUUCUUCGGACCACAGAUUGAUCGUCUUUGGAUGGGCCCGCGUUGUAUUAGCCUGUUGGUAGGGUAAAAGCCUACCUAGGCGACGAUCCAUAGCUGGUCUGAGCGGAUGGUCAGCCACACUGGGAGAGGGACAAGUGCGAGACUUUGACGAAAGGGAGCAGGGGGGAAUAAGGGACAACGGGUGAGAGCCGGAGGCAUUAGGGCUGCAUAAGUCAUUAGUUCGGUAGGAUUGUAAAGCUCUUUUACCCGGGAUGAUAAGAAGGUAACCGAAGGAAUAGCCCCGGGCAAACUCCGG